GAUAAAAUAUAAAGAACAUGAUGUUGGUUCAGAUUAAACGUUAAAUAAGGACAUUACACAUGUGAAUCAAACAUUUAUUAUAUAAAAAAUAUAAUAAAUAAGUGGUGAAGAAGUGAGUAAAAAAUAGAAAUAAUGAACUAUAAAUUGUAUUAAAUGUAUAAUAAAUUAAUAUAAUUAAAAUUAUAUUAUAUUAAAGAUUAUGAAAAUAAUUGUUUAUAGUCAAGUCUAUAAUAGUUUAAGGUAGUAGGAUAUCAAGAGAAUAACCUAGCCAACGAUCUAUAAUCAAUAAUGAAAGUUAUAAUGAUCACAUUGAUUAAUAAUUUAAUCAAUAUCUAUAAGAUACAGCAGUGGGGAAUAUUAAACAAUGAUCGAAAGAUUGAUUUAGUUACUUAUUAAGAUGAAUAUUUAAUUGAUAAAAAAUAAAAUCUAUAUAUAAUUAAAAUAAUGAUAUUAAUUACUUUGAUAUUUAAAGUAUUUAUUAAUAUUUAUUAAUUUAAGUAUUAAUAAUUAUAUAAUAGUCUUAACCAAAUAAUUGUGCCAGCAGUUGCGGUUAUACAAUGAAGGCUAACGUUAAUCAUAAUGGUUUAAAGGAUUUGUAGAAUGAAUAUUAAUUUAAUAAAAUAAAUUAAUUUUAGAGUUAAUUAAAACAUAAUUAAAGAAUUAUAAUAGUAAAGAUGAAAUAAUUAUAAUAAUUAUAGGACUGGUAAUAAUGAAAAUAUUAAUUAGUAAUUAACUGACAUUGAGAAAUGAAAACUAAAGUAGCAAAAUAGAUUCGAUACCUAUGUAGUUUUAGUAGUAAACGAUGAAUACAUAUUAUAUAAAUUAAAAUAUUAUAUAAUUAAAUGAAAAUAAAAGUAUUCCACCUGAAGAGUAUAUUAGCAAUAAUGAAACUCAAGACAAUAGACGGUUACAGACUUAAGUAGUGGAGCACGUAAUUUAAUUCGAUAAUCCUCGAUAAUCUUACCAUAUUUUGAAUAUAUUUAUUAUUAAUUAAAUAUUAAUAAUAAUUAUACAAGUGUUACAUUGUUGUCUUUAGUUCAUGCUGUAAAGUUUUAGAUUAAGUUCAUUAAUGAACAAAACUCCAUAUAUAUAAAUUAUAUUAUAUAUAUUAUUAUAUUAUUAAUUAAUAUAAUUAAUAGGAAUUAAGACAAAUCAUAAUGACCUUUAUAAUAUGGGCAAUAAACAUGCUAUAAUAAUUUGAGAAUAAAAUUAUAAUAAUAUUUUAAAAAAAAGAAUAAAAUUAAUAAUUAAAAACAAAUUAAUAUUUAAUAUAGAUUAUAUAUUAUAUAUUUAAUAUGGAUUAUUAUCUGAAAUUUGAUAAUAUGAAAUAAGAAUUACUAGUAAUACGUAAAUAACCAAGUUACGGUGAAUAUUCUAACUGUUUCGCACUAAUUACUCAUCACACAUUGAAAUAUAUAUUUAUCUGAUUAAUAAUUAUAUUUAAUAAUUUUUUAUUAAUUAAUUAAUUAUUAUUAUUAUAUUAUUAUAUGAGAAUAUAUUGAUUAAUGUGAAGUUGAAAUACAGUUACUGUAGGGGAACCUGCAGUGGGCUUAUUAAUAUCUUUUAUAUUCCAUC
rnacentral:rRNA from 1 species